rnacentral:rRNA from 1 species
AGCGGCGGACGGCUGAGUAACAUGUAGGAACGUACCCCAAACUGAGGGAUAAGCACCAGAAAUGGUGUUUAAUACCGCAUGUGCUCUAAGGAGUAAAGCUUCGGCGGUUUGGGAACGGCCUGCGUCCGAUUAGCUUGUUGGUGAGGUAAUGGCUCACCAAGGCGACGAUCGGUAGCUGGUCUGAGAGGAUGAUCAGCCAGACUGGGACUGAGAACGGCCCAGACUCCUACGGGAGGCAGCAGUAGGGAACUUUCCACAAUGGGCGAAAGCCUGAUGGAGCAACGCCGCGUGCAGGAUGAAUGCCUUAGGGUUGUAAACUGCUUUUAUCUGUGACGAAUAUGACGGUAGCAGAUGAAUAAGGAUCGGCUAACUCCGUGCCAGCAGCCGCGGUCAUACGGAGGAUCCAAGCGUUAUCCGGAAUUACUGGGCGUAAAGAGUUGCGUAGGUGGCAUUGUGUGUCGGUAGUGAAAGCGUGUGGCUCAACCAUAUAUACAUUAUCGA